CAGCCGUAAACUAUGCGCGUUAGGUGUAUCGGUGACCACGAGUUACCGAGGUGCCGAAGGGAAACCGUGAAACGUGCCGCCUGGGAAGUACGGUCGCAAGGCUGAAACAUAAAGGAAUUGGCGGGGGAGCACAACAACGGGUGGAGCCUGCGGUUUAAUUGGACUCAACGCCGGACAACUCACCGGGAACGACAGCAAUAUGUAGGCCAGGCUGAAGACCUUGCCUGAAUCGCUGAGAGGAGGUGCAUGGCGUAGACGUCU
rnacentral:rRNA from 1 species